UCCAAUCUAGAUGAGCUGCAUUCUCAGUUUAUUGCAUAUGAGCAGAGCCAGGAACAGGUGGAACACAUCCUGCAGCACUGGGACCGAGCACUGGGCUUGUUGCUGGUUCCAUUCCCCAAUGAGGAAACCUUGUCAGAGGAGGCCAUAACAGGGAAACAUGUGAGUCUGCUGACUGUUGUAUUUUCUCUAUAAUUAAAUUAAGCCUGCUGAAGUAGCCAUGGGAUAUUUUAGAUGUCUAAAUGAAAACAAAACAAAUCAGGAACAUAUAUAAUAUUUAAAUUAAAAACAUAGGUUAAAUAACAAUAAUUUAGCUUUUUGUCUUUAAUAACUGAAUGAUCAAAUCACGAUACAGAAAACCAAGUGAAACCAAGUGUUAAACAUUAACACAGUUUCCUGUGCGGCUAGCCUUUAGAGGUGCACUACUACUGACUGAAAUUAAUUAUGUUUGUUAUUGACGGUUUACAGUUUUAAGGGAUCUUCUGCAGGAUGCUGUACAGUAUCUUAGAGGGGUCUUCUUGGUGGGAUUCUAUUUGCACUUAAAGUCAUGAAAUGUUUAUUCACCAUACAUUUUAGGGUAACACAUGCAUUCAGUCAUACUCAAAUAUUUCUGUGGUAUUUUUUGCACGUUUGUAUACUGAGAGUGAGAUUUAAAAAGGUAAGCGGUAGAUACCUUUCCUUAUGUACACAUUCUUACAACAUACAUGCUACCUGUACAAACCUCCUGCAUUAACUCUUAGUUCCUUCUUAUGUUUGAAUAAAUGGCUACCAUAGACAAAGAAAAUCUCAGCAUUACUACAGCUAAAAUCUGGAACACAUCAAUUUAAUUCAUCAUCACCCUGUGUACACAGACCCCUGUUGGCAAAAGGGGCAAGAAAGCCAGCAAGACACUGUCUCCAAUGACCAGUCAGAUGGCAGCACCAGCUGAAGCAGGCAAGGCAGGAGACAAGGUGUCUCCACAGGACAUCAUCCCUCACAUUGCGCUGAAUGUAACAGGGAAAGACUCAUAUGCCACAGAGCUGCUAAAAGGCAGCACCUUGCCUCCACUGGACGAGUUGUUGGAUGAUUUGGGUUUGGGACCCAGUGGCCCACCCAUCCCUCCUCCAACCACCUUCUCCAUGGUUCCUUUCCCCCAAAACAGGGAGCAAUCUAGCCGGGAAUUCAUCUGUAACUGUUUCACCUUCCUGGUUCCCAUGGGACUUGACAAACAGGGUGAGGAGAAAAAAGAUGCAGAGGACGAUGUACCAACAUCAGUUGUAAAGGAAGAAGCAGCAACACCUUCCAAAAGUCGCAGCAAGGGCAGCAUUAAGGAGAGUGCAGUAACAAAGGACAAGGAUAAAAGGGGCAGAGAGAGUCAGAAGAGCAAGAGACGAACACUGUUACACGUGUCCUCCACAUCUGACUGCAACGAACCAACACAACAAGACCAACACCAAGGAACCUUAGAGCAGAAACGCAACCAAAGGCAAGGGCAAGCACACAGACAAACUCUACAAGGCUGCAUUGUGUUUUUUU
rnacentral:lncRNA from 15 species